CAGUCCUCCUCCUCGCGACAGGCCGGGAGGUGAUGUGUUGGUACGAACGAACUACGGACGGAACAGAAGAAGUGGUCUCUAUAUAUAUGCUCCCGAGAGAAGAAGAAGCAGGAGGAACGGAAGGGGGUUUGUUUGAGGCUGGUACGCAGCAAGCCGCACUGUGCGAGCUUGGACCGGGCAAGGGGUCGUUCUCGUUCCGUCCUACUCCAGUAUAACUAUUGUUGAUUAAUAACCGCUGCCGAUAGCUCUUCAUUUUUCACGCGCGUGUUUACACACCUGCCCGGGGGGGGAGCUUCCUGGCAUCAUCAGCUGGGGCUCUACUUUAAUUUAAUCGGGAUCUUUGUCCGUGUCUCCGGGCAUCGAGACGGCGGGCAGUGGUCAACACAUGCGGAAUCAUUCGAGGCUGCUAUGCAUAUGCCCGCACGGGAAUGGCCAUGAGCGCAUUGCCGUGGUAGGUGAUAUGUUUGUAGCCAGCCGCCCUCUGUAGCAACUUUGCCGUUGCGGACGAGUACUACUAUACUCUCUGCUAGGACGAUAAGGCCGGGCGACGUGCAUCACCGUCGGUUUCGCCGAUCGAACGGCCGAGUCAAGUGAGAUUGAUUGGACUGUUUGGGGGUCAAGCUACGGGUGCCGCGAAAUGAUCACAAAAGCAGUGACGACCGUUCCGGUGAUCAUGGACUCUCUCUUUUUUCCCUGCCAGAGACCAGGGUCAUUUGAUCAGGUUUUGUGACGCUUCCCCGCAGAUAAAUUCAGGCCUAUCAUCUGGACUCUGUGCUUAUUGGCCGCGCUAGGCUACGGCCAAAUUUCAGUUUCAUAUACUUAUACUUGGUUUGAUGAUAAGUACACACCUACUGUCUCUGAUCCUAAAUUCUUGUCGCUGUUGUAGUGCAAAUUUGAACUAAAACAACGGCAAUAAUUUAGAAUCGGAAGGAGUGCAAAUUUUGCCGAGAGAGCCAUAUGCCUUUCUUUAUACUAAAGGGUUAU